AAAACGACAAACCCUGGUUUCCGUGUCCAACGUUUGACCGUCCGUCUUAUUUGAAAAAAUUAUGAAAAAAAUUAAAAAGACAAAUCACGUAUAAAAUAUUAAUCAUAUUUUAUCAUCUAACAACAAUGAAAAUACGAGUUAUAAAAAAAUUCAUAUAAUACGAUAAUACGGACAGUUAAAGUUGGACACAGAAAUCCAGGGUUUGUCUUUUU
rfam:Oryza sativa Japonica Group DNA, chromosome 3, cultivar: Nipponbare, complete sequence.